CCUACGGGAGGCUGCAGUGAGGAAUAUUGGUCAAUGGGCUUACGCCUGAACCAGCCAAGUCGCGUGAGGGAAGACUGCCCUAUGGGUUGUAAACCUCUUUUGUCAGGGAGCAAUUGGCGCUACGUGUAGCGUUAUCGAGAGUACCUGAAGAAAAAGCAUCGGCUAACUCCGUGCCAGCAGCCGCGGUAAUACGGAGGAUGCGAGCGUUAUCCGGAUUUAUUGGGUUUAAAGGGUGCGUAGGCGGAAUGCCAAGUCAGCGGUAAAAUCGCGGGGCUCAACCUCGCUCCGCCAUUGAAACUGGCGUGCUUGAGUGGGCGAGAAGUAUGCGGAAUGCGUGGUGUAGCGGUGAAAUGCAUAGAUAUCACGCAGAACUCCGAUUGCGAAGGCAGCAUACCGGCGCCCAACUGACGCUGAAGCACGAAAGCGUGGGUAUCGAACAGGAUUAGAUACCCGGGUAGUC
rnacentral:rRNA from 1 species